rnacentral:rRNA from 1 species
AUUGAACGCUGGCGGCAUGCUUUACACAUGCAAGUCGAACGGCAACAGGCCGCAAGGUGCUGACGAGUGGCGAACGGGUGAGUAAUGCAUCGUAACGUGCCCAGUCGUGGGGGAUAACUACUCGAAAGAGUAGCUAAUACCGCAUACGAUCUAUGGAUGAAAGCGGGGGACCGUAAGGCCUCGCGCGAUUGGAGCGGCCGAUGUCAGAUUAGGUAGUUGGUGGGGUAAAGGCUCACCAAGCCAACGAUCUGUAGCUGGUCUGAGAGGACAACCAGCCACACUGGGACUGAGACACGGCCCAGACUCCUACGGGAGGCAGCAGUGGGGAAUUUUGGACAAUGGGCGCAAGCCUGAUCCAGCAAUGCCGCGUGCAGGAAGAAGGCCUUCGGGUUGUAAACUGCUUUUGUACGGAACGAAACGGCUCUGGUUAAUACCCGGGGCUAAUGACGGUACCGUAAGAAUAAGCACCGGCUAACUACGUG